rnacentral:tRNA from 1 species
GCGCGAUUAGUACAUCGGUAGUAUGCGACCUUCCCAAGGUUGAGAGGCGGGUUCGACUCCCGUAUCGCGCU